CUCCCACCAGCCUUGGGGGGAUCGCUCCUGCCGUGGCAGAGCUGGGGCGGAAAGAAGGAGGCCGGCCUGAGGGGCGGAGUCUCCUGGCCCCCGCCUUGCCCGUCUCUGGUGGGGUAAGGCAGGGAGGGCUCCCGCUGCGGUUCGGUGCCAGCUGUGAAACUGACGAGGGAGCGGGAAGCUGGGGCUCGCUCCCUGUCUGGGGAGGAGGCUGCGAGCAGGCGUGCAAGCCCAAGUGUGUUUAAAAAGCAAAGAGCCGCUCCCCCCCCCGCCCAGCUCUGCUCCCGGCUGUCUCCGAGUCUAGCGCGCUGCGAGCCCAGCGCUGGCCAGCGGCACGGCCAGAGGAGCGGGCAGGGGAGCAGAGGGGGCACGUGCAGCUUCUAUUGUAGGGCGAGCAGCCCGAAAUGAAACAGAACCAGGCAGAACAAAGCUCUGUCACAACUGUGCUUCCUGGUUGUCGCCUCCUGCCUGCAAACCACUGAACAUUUUCCACUUGAUAUCAUCAUGCAGAAAGGGAGAAACGAGACGCAAUGAGAGAUUCAGCAGGAUGAAAAAAACAACAUUCUUUGGGCUACAUCUUGCUCUGCACUUGGUUUGGGGAAAUAUAGGAGAUUGGUGAGUGGAAG
rnacentral:lncRNA from 1 species